GAAACUUGGAGGCACUUGUCUGAGAUUGACGUAGGAGGAGGGAAUUUUUGACCUCUUUGAUCUGCAGUCCCCUCACCAGUCCAACAGGGAUCCUCGCUGGCAAGGAGGGAGCUUCUCUCUCCUAGUUCCCUCUGGAAGAAAAAAAAUCUUAGGAGCCUGACACUUGCUUCCUGAAGAACCUAGUGUGCUACCCCAUCGGAAGUAUCCAGCGUGGUUCCUCAGGCACCCCUUAUCGAAUGCUCCCUAGGAUACCCUACAAUGACUCCAACCCUCGGUAAGUAUCUCCAAGUGGUACUCCCUUUCCAGCAGCUGCUCUGUACCUUUACUGGCUAAGCUUGUACAGAGCCCCAAAACAGCAUGAAUUCCCCGGACUCUCAACUUUACCCUGAAUCUCCUAUAAGUAAAAGGGCUUCUGGUGCAGUGGCGCCCCCUCUCUCCACCCACGCGGGUCAUGCUGACCCCCAAC